rnacentral:lncRNA from 1 species
AUUCUGGAACUGUACUGGUGAGAGAAGCUGUGGAGAGUAACAGAAGAACAUCAAAUCCUCUUCCUCUUGAGAAGUCACCUUCAGAACUGACCAAAAAACAAACAUAUCUUCUGAGCACAACACUAAACUGUGGGGAAGAGAUACUCCUCAAACUCAAAUGACAAAUGAUAUGGAAAUAUCCAUCUCACUUUCUCCCAAAGAACACAAGCAGUUUCCAUCAGAUAGCAUUUUAUUGGACCAUUUUACGAAAAUCUUUCUACAUUUAAGAAGAGCAGCAGUUCUUGCUCACCGUGGAGGCCAUUGGACAUUGCUUCAAAAUGCAUGCAGAGAAUUAUGGAACUAUACUCAAGAAUCACAG